CAUUUUCCAAAAUCUCUUUCUUAUGUGGUUUCAACAUAUAUAGACACGUGUUGGGUUGAACUGCCCAUGAAGUUCUUGCUAUUUAACAUUGCUGCUUAUGAUGCCUAACUUCCUAUUUUAAGUAGAAUAUGCAACACUCAAAGCUUUGUCUGAGCUUCUUGUGAACAAUGUGCACUAGAAAUGCAAACAUAGAAUAAAUAAUUUUUAUAAGCUCCAGUUGUUUCUACUUUGUCACUACAGCAAAGUUGUGUCAAAAAG
rnacentral:lncRNA from 1 species